rnacentral:rRNA from 1 species
UACGGAAGGGGCGAGCGUUGUUCGGAAUCAUUGGGCGUAAAGGGCGCGUAGGUGGUCUUGUGUGUCUACCGUGAAAGCACACGGCUCAACCGUGUUUGGUCGGUAGAAACUGCAGGACUUGAGGCUGGGAGGGGCUGGUGGAAUUCCCCGUGUAGCGGUGAAAUGCGUAGAGAUGGGGGAGAACACUCGUGGCGAAGGCGGCCAGCUAGACCAGUUCUGACACUGAGGCGCGAUAGCGUGGGGAGCAAACAGG